GAUGAACGCUGGCGGCGUGCCUAAUACAUGCGAGUCGAGCGAACGGACGAGAAGCCUGCUUCUCUGAUGUUAGCGGCGGACGGGUGGGUAACACGUGGAUAACCUACCUAUAAGACUGGGAUAACUUCGGGAAACCGUAGCUAAUACCGGAUAAUAUUUUGAACCGCAUGGUUCAAAAGUGAAAGACGGUCUUGCUGUCACUUAUAGAUGGAUCCGCGCUGCAUUAGCUAGUUGGUAAGGUAACGGCUUACCAAGGCAACGAUGCAUAGCCGACCUGAGAGGGUGAUCGGCCACACUGGAACUGAGACACGGUCCAGACUCCUACGGGAGGCAGCAGUAGGGAAUCUUCCGCAAUGGGCGAAAGCCUGACGGAGCAACUCCGCGUGAGUGAUGAAGGUCUUCGGAUCGUAAAACUCUGUUAUUAGGGAAGAACAUAUGUGUAAGUAACUGUGCACAUCUUGACGGUACCUAAUCAGAAAGCCACGGCUAACUACGUG
rnacentral:rRNA from 1 species